rnacentral:snRNA from 1 species
GUGAGCACUUCAGCAGCACACAUACUAAAAUUGGAACAAUACAGAGAAAACAGCAUUGGCCCUGCUCAAG